rnacentral:rRNA from 1 species
UACAGAGGUCCCAAGCGUUGUUCGGAUUCACUGGGCGUAAAGGGUGCGUAGGCGGUGAGGUAAGUUUGACGUGAAAUCUCCAAGCUCAACUUGGAAACUGCGUUGAAUACUAUCUCGCUAGAGGAAUGGAGGGGAGACUGGAAUACUUGGUGUAGCAGUGAAAUGCGUAGAUAUCAAGUGGAACACCAGUGGCGAAGGCGAGUCUCUGGACAUUUCCUGACGCUGAGGCACGAAAGCCAGGGGAGCAAACGGG